rnacentral:rRNA from 1 species
AGUAAGAUCCCUGAAAGAUGAUCAGGUUGAUAGGUCUGAGGUGGAAGCGUGGUGACACGUGGAGCUGACAGAUACUAAUAGAUCGAGGACUUAACCUU